rnacentral:tRNA from 1 species
GCAUUGGUGGUUCAAUGGUAAAAUAUUCUUUUUCCAUGUGGGAGAUCCAGGUUUGAUUCCUGGCCAAUGCA